GCCCCCGUAGCUCAGUGGACAGAGCAGGAGCCUUCUAAGCUCUUGGCCGGAGGUUCGAAUCCUCCCGGGGGUA
rnacentral:tRNA from 1 species